GAUGGCCAUAUAAUGUAGAAGCACCAGUUCUCAUCUGAUCACAGAAGUUAAACAACAUUGAGUAUGGCCAUUACAUAGAUGGUUCACUGCUGGGGAAUACCAGGUGCUGUAA